UCGGUCGCCAUAUUGCAAAGCUAGCUUCCGCCAACCCCUUAAACCGCCAUUGACUUACGGUGCGCAUGCGCGCUCCGGGCACUCCGCUUCCCCUCUUCUCGCGACUAAGCAGGGCUGUCCCUGCCUUAUUCCAUCCCACCUUCGUUCGCGUAAACUAGGUCUCGCCCGGAGACCACGUUUUUGGACGCGCCCACCCUGCUGCUCGAAUUUUAAAGCGUGCCAAAGCUGUACGCCUGCGCAGUUCCAUCAUUCGCGCCUUUGUUUACGCUUCCGCUUCGGCAACAAGAUUUAUCCUCCAGCCUUUCUCCGCUCCUCCUGCUCGGCGCCAUCUUGUCUUCUUUCAGCUGACUUUACAUUGUUCGAAGUUGAGAGAGAAGGAGCCUGUUCCUGGCUCCCCAAGACUCAACCAUGGAAGGUACAGAAAGGUGUGUGACAAGAAACUUAUGGCUUUUAAUUCUGGCAGGAAGGACAAGGAAAACCAAGGAUAAAGAUUUGAUCAAGUUUUAUUAUUCUCCCACUGGAGAUGGGGGAGGGGGAAUCAGUCAUAUUUAAUAAACAUCUGUCUCCUCAUCCC